UUUGAUGGCCUCCUCUUUCUCUCUUUAACAAAUCCCAUCCGCCCAGUUCAAACACCAUUUUUCUCUGUAGAAAAACCAGUCACCACCAAUUCAUCUUUCUACUCCGGUAUAACUACGACCACCAUCGUUGCCACAUUUGUCAUCCAUCCGACAUCGCAACCCACAAUCGUUAUUGUUGCCUAUCCAAGACUGAGAAUUCCAAACUACCACUACUCACUCUUUUUAUCCCUUUCUGUCUUUUGUCUUUUCUGGUCUACCACCAUAAACAACCGUCACUACCUCCUGAAACCCUAUAUCUAUACUAUCAGCCGUAUUUUAUCUUCACCACUGUUUAUCUCCCUAUUUCUAUGGCUGUCUACAACCAUUCUACGAGAAGUGUUUUUCACACCAUCGUUGCUACAAAUCUGUGUUAGUGUAUGUAAAGGAUAUGUGAAUACGUAUAUAGUUUUUUAGAUAUGUAUCUUCAAAUGAAGGUCCAGGUCACACAUACUUAUGAUGUGUCUCAUAUGUGUACUCAUUGUUUUGAAGAUUUUGAUUUUCAAAUGUUUAUUUUAACUUAGAUUAGCUAUAUUUUGUUUUACAAAUCUGGAAAUGUUUAUAGUGCCGCCAACAGCGUUUUUAUAGUUUUGUAUACUUAAUGUGUUUUUUCGGAAGGAAACAAAUAUUGUGGUGUG